UGAACCCUUCGUGAUGCUAGCACUGUGUCAUGCUCACCUAUAUCAUUCCCAUCUCCUUCUAAAUGGUCUGGUAGUUCCUCUUCUUCAUUGUAAUUCCCAAUUGUCUUCUUGAGCAAGGAUAUGUGGAACAUUGGGUGCACUCGUGAUCCCUCAGGUAAUUUCAAUUUGUAAGCACAAUUCCUCGAGCCACAAUUGGAUAGGGACAACAAAUUUUAGCUUAUAACUUCGCAUAAAUACAAGCCACCACUGAUUGGGGGACUAAAAGUCGGAAGCAAAAGUUAUGAUAGAAAAAAAAAAAAUUAGGACUAAAAGUUGAAGAAAUCUUUAAAAGUUAAAUAAAAAAUUUAUAUAUUUACAAAAACCAAAAAUAUAUUUAAGCCAAAAUUUUCUGAAGAGAUUCUCACAGGACAUAAUUUCCCUUCCAAUUCGCACACGACUUUUUUGCUACAAUCCAGUAAGAGAUUGAAAUACGUUUGUUUCCUUCUUACAUGUAUAACCCCUCUUAACAUUUUCAAGCAUAUUUCAAAUGUGUGCAUGUUGGUUCCAAAAUAUUUAACCAAUAAUUAAGUUACAAUUGAGCAUUAUGGAACAACCUCAUGUUCAAUUGAUUCAUGCGUACAUUACCAUAUGUCAUUCAUCUGUACCUCCUAUUUAUAUAUAUAUAUAUAUAAUAUAAUUAUAAAUGAUAAUUUUCUAUCUAAUCCUCGAGCAUCAUUGUUUAUUUUAUUUUAUUGAUAGACGAAUUGGCAAAGCCAUUAUACUCACACACAUAAGUGGAGAUACCGGAGUUCAAACCCCGAUCAUGGCAUCCGACCUAACAAUUUCGGCAUUUUACUAGUUGAGCUAGAACUUCUGAAUCGAGCAUCAUUGUUACUAAAUGGCAUAUUGAAAUGGUCGCCAUCAACAAUUUUAUUACACAACAAGAGUAAAUUGUUUUUUUCUUUUGGGUGUGAAUAAUUAAGAGUAAACUUGCCUGAAUAAAAAAAGAGUAAACUUGCUAUUGUUGAAAGACACAACAAAUGCGAGUAUUCAGUAUCCUUUGUAGUGUUUUUAUAUAUGUUAUCUUCUAAUAAUAA
rnacentral:lncRNA from 1 species